ensembl:misc_RNA
AGCAAUGUCUGGGAAAUUUAGUCACAAAGUCUUUGGCUUACUCACCAGAUACAGCCCCAGCACUGACACUGCAAAUUCCUUUACAGGGUCCUGUUAAUGCACUUCAAUCCUGACCUGAAAGAACCUCUAUGGCUGACAGGAUAGUUUAAUUUUCAUGCCCAUUCAAUCUUUGGCCUCU